GAUGAACGCUGGCGGCGUGCCUAAUACAUGCAAGUCGAGCGAACAGACGAGGAGCUUGCUCCUUUGACGUUAGCGGCGGACGGGUGAGUAACACGUGGAUAACCUACCUAUAAGACUGGGAUAACUUCGGGAAACCGGAGCUAAUACCGGAUAACAUGUUGAACCGCAUGGUUCAACAGUGAAAGACGGUCUUGCUGUCACUUAUAGAUGGAUCCGCGCCGCAUUAGCUAGUUGGUAAGGUAACGGCUUACCAAGGCAACGAUGCGUAGCCAACCUGAGAGGGUGAUCGGCCACACUGGAACUGAGACACGGUCCAGACUCCUACGGGAGGCAGCAGUAGGGAAUCUUCCGCAAUGGGCGAAAGCCUGACGGAGCAACGCCGCGUGAGUGAAGAAGGUCUUCGGAUCGUAAAACUCUGUUAUUAGGGAAGAACAAAUGUGUAAGUAACUAUGCACGUCUUGACGGUACCUAAUCAGAAAGCCACGGCUAACUACGUG
rnacentral:rRNA from 1 species